rnacentral:other from 1 species
GCCGGCCUGCAAAGUUGGUGCUGGUGGUAACCGUUUUUUGAACCAUUGCUCAAUGAACAGGGAGUCUGACUCGUAUUCGGCUCGGUGUGCGACGCUCCGUCAUGCGGAGAUGCCUAAAGAGCUGCGGCAGGUUCCCACCGUAUAGGACGGGUUCAUUGACGGCCCACCGAGUACGGCCCCGCGGGUCGGCA